GACGGCUGUGUCAGUGGCCAUCUGGUGGCUCGGGACAGCUUGCUAAGCCUGGCAUCAGACCUGAGUUCAAAUCCUGCCUCACACACUGACUAGCUGUGUGACCUUGGCCAUGUCCCUUAACCCAUCUGCCUCAGUUUCCCCAGCUUCAAGACACAGAUCCUCCGAGCCCAUCCACGUUUGCAAAGGGCUUCGAGGGAGGCUCGGCACGGAGUGGGCUUGUUUCCUUCCUCGCUGCAUCCAGAGCACCUCGAGGGCUCGUCUCUGAGACGGGGUGCUCUGGGGGGCUCCCCCUCGUGGGGCUGCUCCUCCGGACACUUGGGCAGCCCGAGACAGGUGUCUGAGAGAGGCCGGCUGCACCCAGAGGGGGAAACCGAGGCAGGCCCGGCACGCAGAGACCGCGGGAGGGCCACAGGAUGGGGGGGAGGUCCUGGCGGGAGGGGCCGCCAGGCUGGGCACUGCCUGCCUCCGUCCUGGCAGCCCUGGACCCCUCCCCCAGCCUCUCACCAGCUUCCGUUUCCACGCCGUGUCCAGGUGGGCUGCAGCACCGCACGAUGCCCGGCGGCCGGAGACCCCCCGACCCUGCUGGAGCCCCCGGCCUACCCCCCCGUCCGGGUCAUCCACGCCAGGGUGUCCUCGAGCAGCGCCUCGGACGUCUCCUCCAUCAGCUCCGAGCUGGAGCAAAAGUACUGGGAGGCCCUGAACGCCGAGCAGUGGGACCCUGAAGACCCCCCUCCAGCCCGGAGCAGAGCCCCCCCGGCCGGGCCCCAGGGACGUCGUCCCACUUCUCGCUGCUCAGAGGCCAGAGAGGCAGCCAACGGGUCCGAAGCUCCCUGAUGGAGGACCCUGCAGAGCCCAGGACGGCCUCCAAACGGGCCUCCCUAAGAACGGGCCUCCGAAGGCCUCAACGGCCAGCUCCGGCCCCUCCUCACGCUCCGGUUUUUCCUUUCCUGUCUUCACUGAAGGCCGUCCUUGGCAGGACGUCCCAGGUUCCAGGCUGGCCUCAGACACUCCCUCUCGGCGUGACCCUGGGCGAGUCCCUUCACCCCCUGGCGCAGCUCUUUCCACUCUUCUGCCUUGAAGGGGAGGGUGAGAAGCUCCUGCCCUGAGGACUUUGUACAGCUGGGAGAGCUGAGAUUGGGAGGGGGCUUGUCCUGCCUCUGCCCAGCCCCUCCGCCUGCUCCCUCCCCUUCACUCGGCCAGCCGCCAGCUUGGGGGAACCAAGGCAGAAGGAGGAGCUGGAUUCGAACGGGGAACCAGCAGUCAGAGGCCACUUUUCACGGCUGUCGCCGUGUCUCCCCCGAGGCCCCCCAGACAUCUGGAGUUGCUGCUCGGAAGGCCUCUGUGGGAGCGAGGCCAUUGUGAGCCCCCUCCAGGCAGGGCCGGGUGCUGAGAGCCCCCUAAUGAAGUGCGAAGGCAGCCUCCCGCCUGCCCUGGGGGAAACUGAGGCUCAGACGACCAGCGCCAAUGGAGCAGCCUCUCAGCAACAUGACCGUGGACUAGAGCGUCCUACCCCUUGUCCGGCCUGCUCCAGCCUUAACUGCCCAGCCAGAGGCCCUCACUAGACACAGCGCAGGUGCCCCACCUCCACGUUUUAGUGGGGAAGAGUGUCCUGGAGGAGGGGCUGCAUGGAGGGCUCCCCUGGACCUCCCACUUCAGCAGCCCCCUGGCGCGGAGGACAGAUGCUGCCUCGGCUGCACUCACUCUCCAGCUGCCUUGGCUGCACUCGCUCUCUCCCUUCAUCCGCGAGGCAGCCCUGUGUACUCACUUUCUAACUCGUUUUCAAAUGUUCCAGAGAGUUUCAGCGGACUUUGAGGGGGGCCAGAAAGCCCAUUUUCUUCUAAAAACGCAUUUGCAGGGACACUUCUGCAUAGUUGGUGGACUGGAUUCAGAAAGGAGGCUGGGCCAGGAGCUCAAGCAUCGAGCGAGGCUUCCCUUUGGGUCUCUUCCGCAGCCCUGAACACAAUGGAAGCCGUCCCUGAACCGCUGGGUCUCGGCAGGGUUCGACCAAGGCGUCGUCCUGGUCCUCCCCACAUGCCGCAAGUCAUCCUUUCUGUUGGGGCCCUUUUAGGGAGAGCCAAAACGCCUCCAUGCCAUGAAUAAAUGCCAUUUUUCAGAGUGCUUCCUCUUCUUC
ensembl:lncRNA